CCUAGCUGGGGAGCGGGUUGGGGGCAGUGCCCGUUUGGUGGGGCCUGUGGAUCAUAGGGGAAGACCAAGCAACAGAGGGGAUGGCCACAAUUUCCUACCACUUCUACUUUCUCCAUCCCUCCCUCCUGUUCUGCUCUCUACAUCUCUUGCUUUGUCCUCCUCCUGACCUGCCUUCUGUUGGUCCAUGAAAGUAAAUUCAAGUUACCUUAUUUUUGUAUUUUAGGAUGUUUACAAUCAUUGGGGUUUUCAAGUUGAAAUUGCAAAUCAAUCACCCAAUCUAAUUUAUUUUCUUUCCCCUUCUGCCCCUGAACACCAUGUUCAGUCUAACCCACAUGUAUGAAUUACCUUUCUCUUGCCAAGCAACUUGCAACUGGCGAAUACAGAGAUGGCGAAUUCUUCCUCACGUCUCUACCUACAAGUCACAGAGUAACUGGCAAAGAGAUCAUUACAACGGUAGAUAAGGAGUGCUAUCUUCUAGGAGAGCCAAAGAGGAGCUACAUUUACAGUAACAGUUUUGAGGCCAGAUACCAGUCAAGUUAUAGCAGAGAGGACUUCAUGAAGGAGGAUAGGAAUUUCCCAUGGAUGGCAAUGCUUGCUCAAGAGUGAUUCCUGCUGGACCUAAAUGAAGGAUGCAGCCUGCAGAUAUCUCCUUGGGAACCACUAGCUCUUUCCGGGUAAGUGCACUUUUCCCUGACACCCAGAGCCAUCGUAAUGUCCAGAGCUAUGAUCCCUCCCAAGUUCAUACUACAGGGGCAAAAAUUCUCUGUCUUCUGUCCCUCAGUGCCCAGAUAAAUGACUAACCAGCUGCAAUGCUAAUCCAGAGUGUUAAUCACUGCUAACAUCUCAGGAAAGCUCUUCCAGCAGUCAUUACAGUAAGAACAAAUACAAAACCCAGAAUAAUAAAAACAGC
rnacentral:lncRNA from 1 species